UACGUAGGGGGCAAGCGUUGUCCGGAUUUAUUGGGCGUAAAGAGCGUGUAGGCGGCCUUACAGGUCAGCUGUGAAAACUCGAGGCUCAACCUCGAGACGUCGGUUGAAACCGUAAGGCUAGAGUCCGGAAGAGGAGAGUGGAAUUCCCGGUGUAGCGGUGAAAUGCGCAGAUAUCGGGAAGAACACCCGUGGCGAAGGCGGCUCACUGGCCCGGUACUGACGCUGAGGUGCGAAAGCGUGGGGAGCAAACGGG
rnacentral:rRNA from 1 species